rnacentral:rRNA from 1 species
GAAUGACUCUCGGCAACGGAUAUCUCGGCUCUCGCAUCGAUGAAGAACGUAGCGAAAUGCGAUACUUGGUGUGAAUUGCAGAAUCCCGUGAACCAUCGAGUCUUUGAACGCAAGUUGCGCCCGACGCCUUAGGGCCGAGGGCACGUCUGCCUGGGUGUCACGC